rnacentral:rRNA from 1 species
GACGAACGCUGGCGGCGUGCUUAACACAUGCAAGUCGAGCGGUAAGGCCCUUUCGGGGGUACACGAGCGGCGAACGGGUGAGUAACACGUGGGUGACCUGCCUUUAGCUCUGGGAUAAGCCUGGGAAACUGGGUCUAAUACCGGAUAUGACUCCGCGGUGCAUGCUGUGGGGUGGAAAGCCUUGUGCGGCUGGAGAUGGGCCCGCGGCCUAUCAGCUUGUUGGUGGGGUGAUGGCCUACCAAGGCGACGACGGGUAGCCGGCCUGAGGGGCGACCGGCCACACUGGGACUGAGACACGGCCCAGACUCCUACGGGAGGCAGCAGUGGGGAAUCUUGCGCAAUGGACGAAAGCCUGAUCCAGCAACGCCGCGUGAGGGAUGACGGCCU